rnacentral:rRNA from 1 species
UACCGAGUGAGGGUCUUCUAGGCUCGACCUCCUACCCUCUGUUUAUGAUACCAUGUUGCUUUGGCGAGCCUGUCCUACGGGGCUACCGGGGACUUGAUUGCCUCUGGUGAGUGCUCGCCAGUAGCCUCUUUAAAAUUCUUUAACCCCUGUGCUGUCUUAGUGGAAAUUAAAUAGUUAAAACUUUCAACAACGGAUCUCUUGGUUCUGGCAUCGAUGAAGAACGCAGCGAAAUGCGAUAAGUAAUGCGAAUUGCAGAAUUCAGUGAGUCAUCGAAUCUUUGAACGCAUAUUGCGCCCUUUGGCAUUCCGAAGGGCAUGCCUGUUCGAGCGUCAUUAUCCACAAUCAAGCUUGGCUUGUUAUUAGACUUUUGGUUGUAGGACCGGUCUGAAAAGCAAUAGACAGGAUCUGGUAGCCUUUAAUACAAAUGAGCUUUUUACAGCGUGUAUUUCAGGUCAGCAGCCUUGUCUCUAAGCCCUUAUUUUUCUCGUUGACCUCGAAUCAGGUAGGAAUACCCGCUGAACUUAA